ensembl:scaRNA
GCUAGAGGAUUAAGAAAGCCUGGUCCGUUGAGCCAGGGCCAGGCCGAAACCGUCCUCUUACAGAAAUGCGAUGGAGAGAGUGGUCCAGCUUCCAGACAGCGGAGACCUCACUGUGCCAUCCAACAACA